rnacentral:pre_miRNA from 1 species
AAUGGGAUACUUGGGUCAUAUGGUAGUUCCAUCUCAGGUUUUGAGAAACUUCCAUACUGCUUUCCAGAAAUGGUUGUACUAUUUGUAAUCCCACCAAUAAU